rnacentral:tRNA from 1 species
UACACUGGCCGGGAAUCGAACCCGGGCCGCUCGCAUGGUAGGCGAGCAUUCUACCACUGAACCACCGAUGC